AUCCUGGCUCAGGAUGAACGCUAGCGGCAGGCUUAAUACAUGCAAGUCGAGGGGCAGCACGAAUAGCAAUAUUUGGUGGCGACCGGCGCACGGGUGCGUAACACGUAUACAACCUACCUAUAACAGGGGGAUAGCCUUUCGAAAGAGAGAUUAAUACCCCGUAAUAAAUUGAGUGGCAUCACUUGAUUUUGAAAGCUACGGCGGUUAUAGAUGGGUAUGCGUCUGAUUAGCUAGUUGGUGAGGUAACGGCUCACCAAGGCGACGAUCAGUAGGGGAUCUGAGAGGACUAACCCCCACACUGGUACUGAGACACGGACCAGACUCCUACGGGAGGCAGCAGUAAGGAAUAUUGGUCAAUGGAGGCAACUCUGAACCAGCCAUGCCGCGUGCAGGAUGACGGCCCUAUGGGUUGUAAACUGCUUUUGUACCAGAGAAAACCUACUCACGUGUGAGUAGCUGAUAGUAUGGUAAGAAUAAGCGUCGGCUAACUUCGUG
rnacentral:rRNA from 1 species